GGACAUGUCAAAAUAAUGGUUGAUGUCCAGUCUCUCUAGGCUUCACUAAAUUGCAUAAUGUGCUUUUUUUAAAUUUAAAAAUCUGUUUUCAAUAAUAAUUUAUGUCUUCGAUACCUAUUUUAGAUUUUAUACAUGUACACAAUUAUGUUACCCAAAUACAUGAUGGCUAAUAGUUUCAUGUACACAUACAUUUAACAGACUUACAUAAAUAAUUGUUGGUUGUAAAUACUGAUUAAAGUGAUAGUUGUAUUAAAUGAUACAAAAGUGAUAUUACUAUUUAUCCCAAUAUUCAUUUGAUAACUGUAUAUGUGACCGUUGCCUCAGCUCUUUUCAUCUGAUUUAGUUUGAUUAUAUAAUUUAUUUCAAUGACUUAAAAUUGCACUCAUGUCAUUGUAUAAAUAUAGUAAACUUUCACUUCAAAUUUGAUGUGAAAUUAACGAAAUAUGAUUCUUAAUACUUGUUUGUAGUAUGCCAUAAACUGGGUUAACUAACCAAUGUCAUCACUAUAAGUAUUACAACUAUGAUUAGAAUCUUUGAGAAAUAAAGUUUUACAAGUGAACACUAUAAUUUCCUCUGCAGUUACAUAUUCAUUAUAUUUGGAGGGUCACCAAUUACAGUCCAAAUGUAACUUUAGUUCACCAAACCAAGUGUGCAGGUUGUUAUAUUAAAUAAUACAUGCAAUAAAUGUUAUCACUGUCCUACAUCUUCAUCUCAUGUAUCUCAUAUAUUUACUUUUCUCAGAUUCUACCACCUCUUUUUCAUACCAAUUUGUGUAUAUUUAAUGCCCAAUGUUAUGGUGAUAUGUACAUGGUCGCAAUCUAGGAGUGUAGGACAUUAGCCCUUUGGGACAUUAGCCCCUAGGACAUUAGCCCCUUUGGACAUUAGCCCCUAGGACAUUUGCCCCUUAGGACAAUAGCCCCUAUCUAUUUUUACAUUCAUUUUUUAGGUAAUUUCACCUUUUUUUAAUUAGUGGAAUUAAUGUUGUUGUUUUUUUUUAAACAGCAACAACAACACGUUAUGUUACUUAUGUAUCUAAUUAUAAGGUAAUUUUAGACUUCUGGAUGGUGUCAGAUAGCAAAAUGUUGGCAAAUAGAGUCCAAAGAAAAAAAGAAAAAAUUAAAAAAAACGACACAAAAAUGUAUGUGUGUGGUACAAGCUAUAUAUUGUUUGUUUUUAGAUAUGAAGUUUAAAAAAUGGAAUAAAAAUGCUUAUGUAAAAAAAGUUUUGAACCUAGGGGCUUUUGUCCUAGAGGGCUAAUGUCCGUACCCCGCAAUCUAGACGAAGUGCAUAUGUCCAAGAAUGUAAACAACUGUCUUAACUAAAAUUUGAUGGGGGGGGAGGGGCAUAUUAGGAGUGUAGUACAUUCGCCCUCUGGGACAUUAGCCCCUUGGACAUUAGCCCCUUUGGACAUUAGCCCCCUAGGGCAUUUGCCCCUUAGCACAUUAGCCCAUACCUACUUUUACAUUCAUUUUUUAGGUAUUUAAUUUCAUCUUUUUUUUAAAUUAAUGGAAUUAAUGGUUUGUUUUUUUUAAACAGCAACAACAACACAAUAUGUUACUUAUGUAUCUUAUUGUAAGAUAAUUUUAGACUUCUGGAUGGUGUCAGAUAGCAAAAGUUUUGCAAAAUAAAUAGAGUUCGAAGAAAAAAUAGUAAAGAAAUUGUAAAAAAAAACAACUAAAAUGUACGCGUGUGGUACAAGCUAUAUAUUGUUUGUAUUAACAUAUGAAAUUUAAAAAUAUGGCAUAAAAAUGCUGACUUAAAAUAAAAAAAGGUUUUGAAAAUUUUACAUGUAAAACACCUUGGGGCUUAUGUCCUAGUGUGCACUUUUUUGAAGGGGCUUUUGUCCUAGGGGCUAAUGUCCUAGGGGUUAAUGUCCAAGAGGGCUAAUGUCCGUAUCCCGCAUAUUAGACAUUAGCAACGAACAGCACAAAAACACUUGACACAAGUUAUGGAGCAUCCCGGGGAAUUUACUGGAUUAAAGCAUUUUGAGGGUUAAGGGAAAGUGUUCAGCUUGAAACGUCACAUUUGACUCUAUUAUACAUGAACAAGUCAUUAGAAUAUAUUACUAUUGCUAAAAUUGCUUAAUGUUAUAAUUGUGCAUGUUCAAUAUGUCUGGUGCAUUACGAAUAGUGUCUAGUUUAUUUUCUACAUUGUCAGAUACAAGUUUAAAUAGGCAACAUAAGUUUUUAAGAUUUUAUUAAUAAAUAACAACACAACUGUUAAAUAUUUUAGGAAACAAUGGUUAUUUUUUUACUAUACUAAAAGUCCAGUACUUUAAAGGGAUCUUUUCACACUUUGGUAAAUUGACAAAAUUGAAAAAAGUUGUUUCAGAUUCGCACAUUUUCGUUUUAGUUGUGAUAUUUGUGAGGAAACAGUAAUACUGAACAUUUACCAUGCUCUAAUAUAGCCAUUAUAUGCAUCUUUUGACGAUUUUAAAACCUAAAAAUUAUAAAGCGUUGCAACGCGAAACGAUUGAAUAAUGUGGAGAGUUCUGUUUUUGUCGUUAAAUUUUGUGAAACUACGAAGAUUGCUUAUAUAACGUAUAAAAUACAUCCGGAAUGUGUACUCGGCGGAAUAGCUCAGUAGGCUAAAGCGUUUUUACUUCAGGACUCUGGCAGGACUCCAGGGGUGACUGGUUCGAAACCUGCUCCGGGCAAUGUUCUUUUCCUUUUUUAAAUUUUAUUCUUGAUUUUUUACUGGAGCUUUUACGAUCCAAUGUUUACAUUUAUUAAUAUAAAGCAUUUAAUGAAUAAGUUAAAAAAAUGCCAAAAUCUGUGAAAAGGCCCCUUUAAAUUCGAAAUGACAUGGUCAGCAAUGUAAAAAUGAUGCAGAUGAACACUACAUAAAUUGGCAUGUUAACAAGUUCACUUGAUACUUCACAUGUGCAUUGGCCUUGUACCAAUUUUAUGACUUGAUUUAGGUUUUAAGAUUGCAUUGUGAUAUUUUAUGCUGCAUACAAAUUAUUAUGCCCCCUUCGAAGAAGAGGGGGUAUAUUGCUUUGCUCAUGUAGGUCUGUCGGUCCGUCGGUCUGUCGGUCCGUCCACCAGGUGGUUGUCAGACGAUAACUCAAGAACGCUUGGGCCUAGAAUCAUGAAACUUCAUAGGUACAUUGAUCAUGACUCGCAGAUGACCCCUAUUGAUUUUGAGGUCACUAGGUCAAAGUCACGGUGACCCAAAAUAGUAAAAUGGUUUCCGGAUGAUAACUCAAGAACGCUUAGGCCUAGGAUCAUGAAACUUGAUUGGUAGAUUGAUCAUGACUCGCAGAUGACCCCUAUUGAUUUUCAGGUCACUAGGUCAAAGGUCAAGGUCACAGUGACCCGAAAUAGUAAAAUGGUUUCCGGAUGAUAACUCAAGAACGCUUAGGCCUAGGAUCAUGAAUCUUGAUAGGUAGAUUGAUCAGGACUCGCAGAUGACCCCUAUUGAUUUUGAGGUCACUAGGUCAAAGGUCAAGGUCACAGUGACCCGAAAUAGUAAAAUGGUUUCCGGAUGAUAACUCAAGAACGCUUAGGCCUAGGAUCAUGAAACUUGAUAGGUAGAAUGAUCAUGACUCGCAGAUGACCCCUAUUGAUUUUCAGGUCACUAGGUCAAAGGUCAAGGUCACGGUGACCCGAAAUAGUAAAAUGGUGUCCGGAUGAUAACUCAAGAAUGCUUAUGGCUAGGAUCAUGAAACUUCAUAGGUACAUUGAUCAUGACUGGCAGAUGACCCCUAUUGAUUUUCCGGUCACUAGGUCAAAGGUCAAGGUCACAGUGACAAAAAACAUAUUCACACAAUGGCUCUCACUACAACAGAGAGCCCAUAUGGGGGGCAUGCAUGUUUUACAAACAGCCCUUGUGUUAAUGUUAUGUCUUGGAAUGAAAUUAAUGUUACUUGAUGUUAAUAAAGAAGUCAUAAUGA